rnacentral:rRNA from 1 species
AUUGGACGCUGGCGGCAUGCCUUACACAUGCAAGUCGAACGGUAUCAGGUCUUCGGAUGCUGACGAGUGGCGAACGGGUGAGUAAUACAUCGGAACGUGCCUAGUAGUGGGGGAUAACUACUCGAAAGAGUGGCUAAUACCGCAUGAGAUCUACGGAUGAAAGCAGGGGAUCGCAAGACCUUGUGCUACUAGAGCGGCCGAUGGCAGAUUAGGUAGUUGGUGGGAUAAAAGCUUACCAAGCCGACGAUCUGUAGCUGGUCUGAGAGGACGAUCAGCCACACUGGGACUGAGACACGGCCCAGACUCCUACGGGAGGCAGCAGUGGGGAAUUUUGGACAGUGGGCGCAAGCCUGAUCCAGCAAUGCCGCGUGCAGGAUGAAGGCCUUCGGGUUGUAAACUGCUUUUGUACGGAACGAAAAGCCCUGGAUUAAUACCCUGGGGUCAUGACGGUACCGUAAGAAUAAGCACCGGCUAACUACGUGCCAGCCGCCGCGGUAACAC